UUGCGAGUCAAAGAAUGGCCCCCGUUAUGUUGCUGGUUUAUACCAAACAACGUGCGGGGGUUUUCU
rnacentral:antisense_RNA from 1 species